AGUGAACGCUGGCGGUAGGCCUAACACAUGCAAGUCGAGCGGAGAUGAGGUGCUUGCACCUUAUCUUAGCGGCGGACGGGUGAGUAAUGCUUAGGAAUCUGCCUAUUAGUGGGGGACAACAUUCCGAAAGGAAUGCUAAUACCGCAUACGUCCUACGGGAGAAAGCAGGGGACCUUCGGGCCUUGCGCUAAUAGAUGAGCCUAAGUCGGAUUAGCUAGUUGGUGGGGUAAAGGCCUACCAAGGCGACGAUCUGUAGCGGGUCGGAGAGGAUGAUCCGCCACACUGGGACUGAGACACGGCCCAGACUCCUACGGGAGGCAGCAGUGGGGAAUAUUGGACAAUGGGCGGAAGCCUGAUCCAGCCAUGCCGCGUGUGUGAAGAAGGCCUUUUGGUUGUAAAGCACUUUAAGCGAGGAGGAGGCUACUUAGAUUAAUACUCUAGGAUAGUGGACGUUACUCGCAGAAUAAGCACCGGCUAACUCCGUGCCAGCAGCCGCGGUAACAC
rnacentral:rRNA from 1 species